rnacentral:rRNA from 1 species
CAGCCGCCGCGGUAAUACGUAGGGGGCGAGCGUUGUCCGAAGUUACUGGGCGUAAAGCGCGCGUAGGCGGCUUCUUAAGUCUGAGGUGAAAGGUUCAACGCUUAACGUGAACAGUGCCUUGGAUACUGGGGAGCUUGAGUAUGGGAGAGGGCAGUGGAAUGGCUGGUGUAGCGGUGAAAUGCGUAGAUAUCAGUCGGAACACCCAUGGCGAAGGCAGCUGCCUGGCCUAAUACUGACGCUGAGGUGCGAAAGCGUGGGGAGCGAACGGGAUUAGAUACCCGAGUAGUCCCUGUCUCUUAUA